AUUCGUCCUUCUUUUCCUUGGUUUCUAGAAGAAGGGAGAAUGGAUUCACUGACACACGCUGCGUAUUCUACAUGAAUAAGGAAUAACAAUCCUGACACUGGAAAGUAUUGGACAACAAAUAGCUUCUGUUCUUGAAUAAAAGCUGUCAAUAUGGAAACACUUGUUUUCCCUUUCUGUUUCCUUGAAGUUUCUCCUGCAGUACCUCGAAUCAGUGUUAGCAGAGUACUACUUGGAGAGCUCAGUACUUGGCUGGACUGAAUUCAGAAUAGCUGCUCUACUGAGUUGUGCAGCGGGAUGGACUCCAAGAGAAGAAAGAUUGAAAACCCCAGUGUGAUGAACAAGCGGAGGGAAACAUUGUUUGUUUUGGCUGGAGAUCCUGGCUGUAUGAAGG